AUAAUAUCUCCUUCCUCAGCAGCUCUGGUCCCACGAAGCCUGUCACAAGGAGGAAAUGCAACACGAAUCUGCUGCAGGAAACCGGGAAGCCGUGAGGCGCGGCGCCUUUGGCGGGGAAGAGCACAGAAAUGCCAAAUAUGAUUUUUUUCUGUUAACUUUAUAUCCACAGGUUCUUGUUAAGGAGAUAUCUGAUCAGAUCCCAAAAUGAGCAAUUAUGAGAGCUCACUGUCGGAGCCAGGCGCCUCUGGCAGAGAAAUUUAAUUUGAAGUGUCCUAUCUUAAGCCAUGGGGCUGGCCUGCUUUCUGGGUCAGGAGGCCAGCCCACCAGGGACAGGCUGCUCUGGGGGAUGUGUUCCUGUGGCAGAGGCGACCCCCAGUCAGGCAGAGGAUCCAGAGAGCUUUGGAGGCUCAGCCCUUAAGGUCCCCGAGCAUGCAGCCUUUGAGGUUGGGGCUGGAGAGUCAAGGUGCAGCAGAGCCCAGGGCAUGCAGCAUGGACAGCAUGGCCACUGACUGGACACAGAGAGGACAGGCCCUGGAGUGGCAGCAUGGCCCGCCAGGGCACAACAGCAAGUGUGCAAAGAAGGAAAAGAUGCCCUCUCAGGACUGUCGAAACGGGAAGGUGCCACCCUUUCUAGGGGAGGACUUGGAAGAGGCCCCUUCCUGAACUCAGCCAGGGUCAGGGCAGGCACCUGGAAGCAGGUGCUGGCUGGACCACACCCUCAGCACUGGGGUGCAACUGAUGGCAGCUGGACUCGCCCUCACCCCAGUGCAUAUCCCGAGGGGAUACCUGCAGGGCCCCUCACUAAGGCCAUGGCCCAGGUGGUGACAGGUGGAAUCAGAAGAAGGGGCAUCGAUGGGCUCUGGACUCGGAGCACCCACGUGGCUGCUCGGGGCAGGGAGGCCAGUAGCCUCCACACGGGGUGGACCUGGACAUUUGCUCUGGACUCACUGCUGAGGGUCUCCUGGCCAGGAAAGAUGCCUACAGGGCCCACGGCAGCGCAGGAAGGAGUUGGGGGCUCAGUGGAGCCAGUGUGAGAAGCAGGGAGGUGUCCAUGAGCUGUGGGCCCCUUCCUCAAUCCGGAUCUCCAGGUGAGCUGACAGCCCCUUCCUCAAUCCGGAUCUCCAGGUGAGCUGACAGCCCCUUCCUCAGUCCGGAUCUCCAGGUGAGCUGACAGCCCCUUCCUCAGUCCGGAUCUCCAGGUGAGCUGACAGCCCCUUCCUCAGUCCGGAUCUCCAGUUGAGCUGACAGCCCCUUCCUCAGUCCGGAUCUCCAGGUGAGCGGACAGCCCCUUCCUCAGUCCAGAUCUCCAGGUGAGCUGACAGCCCCUUCCUCAGUCCGGAUCUCCAGGUGAGCUGACAGCCUCU